rnacentral:rRNA from 1 species
UACAGAGGGGGGCAAGCGUUGUUCGGAAUUACUGGGCGUAAAGGGCGCGUAGGCGGCCAACUAAGUCAGACGUGAAAUCCCCUCGGCUUAACCGGGGGAACUGCGUCUGAUACUGGAUGGCUUGAGUUUGGGAGAGGGAUGCGGAAUUCCAGGUGUAGCGGUGAAAUGCGUAGAUAUCUGGAGGAACACCGGUGGCGAAGGCGGCAUCCUGGACCAACACUGACGCUGAGUGAGCGAAAGCCAGGGGGAGCAAACGGG